rnacentral:piRNA from 1 species
UGAGAACUUUGACAACAUUCCGAUGGC